AGUCAAACUCGUGAACGCGGUCGUACGCGUGCACGGGUCAGGGAAUCCGGUGAGAGUCCGGAACUGACGCGCAGCGGUGAGGGUGACGGGCGGGGCAGCAGCCACUGGACGACGGCCACGGCCGGGUCCGGGAAGGCGUCCCGCCGGGAUGAUCCCGAGUCCGAAGACCUGCUGGCGCCCGAUCGUCCGCA
rnacentral:ncRNA from 17 species